UGGGGAAUAUUGGACAAUGGGCGAAGGCCUGAUCCAGCCAUGCCGCGUGUGUGAAGAAGGUCUUCGGAUUGUAAAGCACUUUAAGUUGGGAGGAAGGGCAGUAAGCGAAUACCUUGCUGUUUUGACGUUACCGACAGAAUAAGCACCGGCUAACUCUGUGCCAGCAGCCGCGGUAAUACAGAGGGUGCAAGCGUUAAUCGGAAUUACUGGGCGUAAAGCGCGCGUAGGUGGUUCGUUAAGUUGAAUGUGAAAGCCCCGGGCUCAACCUGGGAACUGCAUCCAAAACUGGCGAGCUAGAGUAGGGCAGAGGGUGGUGGAAUUUCCUGUGUAGCGGUGAAAUGCGUAGAUAUAGGAAGGAACACCAGUGGCGAAGGCGACCACCUGGGCUCAUACUGACACUGAGGUGCGAAAGCGUGGGGAGCAAACAGG
rnacentral:rRNA from 1 species